UGCACUACCUAUUGUCAAGUCGCUUUUUACGAUUGCACAAUAAACUUCAAGCCCCUGAAAUUUCCCAUUGAAACGCAAACAAAGAGACAGGAAACCUACGACGUAGGUACAAUAAUAAUUAUUUGAAAUCACCGAGACGUCGCCUAUAUUCUAAUGAAACUUUUCCUAUUGGUAGCACUGAAAACGUGUUUUAUUAUUUUUUAUAAUUGAACGUUAAUAUUAUUGUCAUCUU